rnacentral:misc_RNA from 1 species
AAGUCGUAACAAGGUUUCCGUAGGUGAACCUGCGGAAGGAUCAUUAACACGUAUCCAACGUUAAACCCCCCGUGAACCUUCAGUGCGCUCGCACUUUCUUAGAAAAGGUAGCAAUCCCUGGUAAAUCAUUGCCGAACAGUUUUGAUUCAGGGACUUCUGCGUAGACUGUGCUUGAGCGUGAGGAAAGUGUCACCAGCUCUGUACGAAUGGCGCAGUCACGAUCGCUAGAGGCCGACACGGCCGGCGACCGGGUCACUGGGCGCGAGCCCCCCUCGUCACCUUUGCAUGAAAACGGGCCUGCGCUUAAUUGUGCGGCCACCAAACUCGAACAACUGUUAACAAUGGAUAUCUUGGUUCUC